CCUACGGGUGGCAGCAGUGAGGAAUAUUGGUCAAUGGACGAGAGUCUGAACCAGCCAAGUAGCGUGAAGGAUGACUGCCCUAUGGGUUGUAAACUUCUUUUAUAUGGGAAUAAAAUGUUCCACGUGUGGGAUUUUGUAUGUACCAUAUGAAUAAGGAUCGGCUAACUCCGUGCCAGCAGCCGCGGUAAUACGGAGGAUCCGAGCGUUAUCCGGAUUUAUUGGGUUUAAAGGGAGAGUAGGUGGAUUGUUAGGUCAGUUGUGAAAGUUUGCGGCUGAACCGUAAAAUUGCAGUUGAAACUGGCAGUCUUGAGUACAGUAGAGGUGGGCGGAAUUCGUGGUGUAGCGGUGAAAUGCUUAGAUAUCACGAAGAACUCCGAUUGCGAAGGCAGUUCACUGGACUGCAACUGACACUGAGGCUCGAAAGUGUGGGUAUCAAACAGGAUUAGAUACCCUAGUAGUC
rnacentral:rRNA from 1 species